GUUUACCACGGUGUGGUUCAUGACUGGGGUGAAGUCGUAACAAGGUAGCCCUAGGGGAACCUGGGGCUGGAUCACCUCCUUACAAAAAAG
rnacentral:rRNA from 1 species